UCUCUAUUUGCCUUUUUUUUUUUUUCUCCUCAGCUGCAUCUUGGUAAAGAAGACAUAGGGCAUAUUUUGAGCCUUUAUUUGUCGAGAAGAUAAAAGAAAUGCACGUCACUGAGAAACUGGUCCUUCAGUGCUAUUCCAGACAAGGAUGUAAUUCUUCCCAGCAUAUAACAGAUGACAGUGUGGUUUACAGUUUCACUUACCAGCCCUCUGAUUUGGUUGAAGUGACACCUCGAUCUGAUCCAGCAAUUGAGUCUUCACACCAUGCCCCUGGGCAUAUGAUACACGUGUAAGAAAAAAGCAGGAGGAGGAAAUGAAAAGAAUGUCCUGUAAAGUGAACAUGAAAAUACGUUGAAAAGAAACUCUGGAGAGAGCUAGUGAACAGUAUAAGGCAAGCAUAGUAACUGAAAAGUGUGUGAUUCUAUGGCUCUGCUGGUACGUAUUCUCAGCCUGUAGAACCCUCUUCCUGGGAUGGCCUGGUGCAUGCCAUCAAGCAUUCUUACAGCUAACCUUCAGCGUGAGUUUAUGUGAGGGCCAACAGAGCUGCACACAAAGGCUGGAAAAGAAUUUGAGGUAUGGUAAUUUUUUUUAAUACAUUUUGGCUUCGUUGUGGUUGAUAUUUUUCCUGUCGUCUUUUGAUUAUGUGCAU
rnacentral:lncRNA from 1 species